UGUGACAUUGUGUUUGAUUAAUCAUUUACACUUAAAGAUCUAUCAAUGCACACUUUAAAUUUUAUUAGUAUAUUUUGUUCUUGAUUAAUCUACACAUUAAAAAAAAAAUAGCUUUAUUUUUGUAUUGUGAUUUCAAUUGCAAGAACUAUUUGUGAUCUCAAUUUCACUUUAAGUUAGUUUUACAUGCAUUUGUAUCAUGAUCAUUUAGUGUUUAAAUUUAAGUCUACACUUGCCAUAGACUCAACCUAAACAAUACUCUUAGAACCAUUUGAGGGUAACAGCAAACCUAGAUGACCAACAUGUUUAAAAAAAUUAAACCCUAAAAGAGUUAUCAAAUAAGGCACCCAAACACCAAUAAAUAUCACAAUGUUGCAAAUGAUUGAGUCAAAUAAUUAUGUCAUUCAACUGUCACUAAAUUUUGAUAUUAGUUCUACUUUUGACAUAAAAAAUCUCGUUAUAUAUAAAACACAACAGUUUAUUCUUGAUACUCCUUUUGAUAUCCUUACCGUAUUAUCUUUAUCAUUAACACAAAAGGAACAUAUUAAUGAUACUUUGGAUGUACAAGUUGUUUUCACUAGGGAUGGUGAACUUCAACGAAUCCUAGUAUAGGGGCUAGAUAACUAGAUACAGACUAUACUUGGAUGAUCAGAAAGAUAUCACAAUAGCUUAAUCAUGAUCUUUAGGAUCAUUAUUGGAGCCGCCUUGAACUAUACUUAACGGGGUCUAGUUUCUCCAAUCUCGGGAGAAUUGGUGAGGACACCAGACCCGAGACAUUGUUUACGCACUUGCAUGAUCAUAGGCAAUGGAAAUUGAGCUUUAGCUUAUGUUUUGGUUUAAUUUAUUUGAACUUUAUAUUGAGGUUUAUUAAUCAGGCUUUUUUGGUUGGGCUUGAUUUAAUUAUUGUUGAGUACUUUAUUUAGUGGACUAUAAGCCUAAUUGCUUGUUCUAGUCAAGGUUUUAGUAUUUAUAUACUACUUUUCUAAAUGUUAGGGAGUUUUGAUGAAUCAAAUUAAAAUUUGAAAAGUUGCAAACUUUUCCAACCC